GUUCCACAAUCAAUCUUCCAGU
rnacentral:misc_RNA from 1 species